GAUGAACGCUGGCGGCGUGCCUAAUACAUGCAAGUCGAGCGAACAGACGAGGAGCUUGCUCCUCUGACGUUAGCGGCGGACGGGUGAGUAACACGUGGAUAACCUACCUAUAAGACUGGGAUAACUUCGGGAAACCGGAGCUAAUACCGGAUAACAUGUUGAACCGCAUGGUUAAACAGUGAAAGACGGUCUUGCUGUCACUUAUAGAUGGAUCCGCGCCGCAUUAGCUAGUUGGUAAGGUAACGGCUUACCAAGGCAACGAUGCGUAGCCGACCUGAGAGGGUGAUCGGCCACACUGGAACUGAGACACGGUCCAGACUCCUACGGGAGGCAGCAGUAGGGAAUCUUCCGCAAUGGGCGAAAGCCUGACGGAGCAACGCCGCGUGAGUGAAGAAGGUCUUCGGAUCGUAAAACUCUGUUAUUAGGGAAGAACAAAUGUGUAAGUAACUAUGCACGUCUUGACGGUACCUAAUCAGAAAGCCACGGCUAACUACGUG
rnacentral:rRNA from 1 species